AUUGAACGCUGGCGGCAUGCCUUACACAUGCAAGUCGUACGGUAACAGGUCUUCGGAUGCUGACGAGUGGCGAACGGGUGAGUAAUACAUCGGAACGUGCCUAGUAGUGGGGGAUAACUACUCGAAAGAGUGGCUAAUACCGCAUGAGAUCUACGGAUGAAAGCAGGGGAACGCAAGACCUUGUGCUACUAGAGCGGCCGAUGGCAGAUUAGGUAGUUGGUGGGAUAAAAGCUUACCAAGCCGACGAUCUGUAGCUGGUCUGAGAGGACGAUCAGCCACGUUGGGCCGAAGAACCGGCCCAGACUCCUACGGGAGGCAGCAGGGGGGAAUUUGGGACAAUGGGCGCAGGCCUGAUCCAGCAAUGCCGUGUGCAGGAUGAGGGCCUGCGGGUUGUAAACUGCUUUUGUAGGGAACGAAAAGCCCCGGGUUAAUACCCGGGGGUCAUGACGGUACCGUGAGAAUAAGCACCGGCUAACUACGUGCCAGCCGCCGCGGUAA
rnacentral:rRNA from 1 species